rnacentral:sRNA from 1 species
GCUGGGCACAGUGGCCGAUGCCUGUAAUCUCAGCAGCUUGGGAGGCUGGGGCAGGAGUAUCACAAGUUCAAAGCCAGCUUCAACAAAAGCGAGGCACUAACCAACUCAGUGAGACCCUGUCUCUA